AAGCGGUGGAGCAUGUGGUUAAUUCGAAGCAACGACGAGAACCUUACCAGGUCUUGACAUCCCGAUGCUAUUUCUAGAGAUAGAAAGUUACUUCGGUACAUCGGUGACAGGUGGUGCAUGGUUGUCGUCAGCUCGUGUCGUGAGAUGUUGGGUUAAGUCCCGCAACGAGCGCAACCCCUAUUGUUAGUUGCCAUCAUUCAGUUGGGCACUCUAGCGAGACUGCCGGUAAUAAACCGGAGGAAGGUGGGGAUGACGUCAAAUCGUCAUGCCCCUUAUGACCUGGGCUACACACGUGCUACAAUGGUUGGUACAACGAGUUGCGAGUCGGUGACGGCGAGCUAAUCUCUUAAAGCCAAUCUCAGUUCGGAUUGUAGGCUGCAACUCGCCUACAUGAAGUCGGAAUCGCUAGUAAUCGCGGAUCAGCACGCCGCGGUGAAUACGUUCCCGGGCCUU
rnacentral:rRNA from 1 species